rnacentral:lncRNA from 1 species
CUGCGAAUGGAGACCGAUGACCGAUCAAUGGCCGGCCACAGUUCUCGCCACAGCAUUAUAUUGAUUCAUUAUUUCAUUCCAUUUUAAAAACUAUGAAGAACAUCAUAUGGUAAAGAAACGGCCAGGCCCUUCAAAAAAAAUGAAUGUGUAACGAUGGUAAAAUAGAGAAAAAAUAUCUUUUUUUUUAAAAAAAGAAAAACAAUACUACUAUAUUGAGAAAAAGGAAAGCUUAAUCUCUACUAUAAUUGAAAUCUUCUCCAGGCAAAUUCCACCUGCAAGAUCAACGACUCACAGCACAUAUCCUAUAGAUUUAACGGCCCAGAUUAGAAGUAUGAUCAUGACCUUACACACCCUCAGCCUAAGGGCCGCAACCUCCUCCGUCAAUCCGCAAUUUCGCGUCAAUUGCUCCAUUCUUGCCUAUCGCACAACAGAAAAAAAAACCUCUGUCGCAUCAAUCGCUCCAUUCUUGCCUAUCGCACAAUAGAAAAAAGAAACUUCUGUCAAUUACUCAAAAAAGACCGCAACCUCCAUUCUUGCCGAUCGCACAAUAGGAAAAAAACCUCCGUCAAUUACUCGCUCCUUAGGAAAUCUACCUCCGUCAACGAGUCAAGCACGAUUCAAUUUUUGAAUACAUCAUAAUUUCCGCCUCCUUCAUCUACCGCAAUUGACGCCCGGCCGUGGAGGACCGUCGUCAAGCUGGUGCCGUAGCUAGGUCGGC